GACCAACGCUGGGCACCAGGUCCUCUAGUUAACGUGGAUGGAGGCUGAUCCUGAUGGGUCCAAAGGUGAUGGGAGAAGUGCUGUUCCACUUCCUGACCAAGGCUAUCUUGGGAGUCCAUCGUACUAAGAUACCAACAUUCUAAGAACAUCAAGGAGAGGCCAGUUGGGAAGCAGGUGGAGAUGCGUGCUAGGUCCUUGAAA